GCAGCCUGCAAGUCAAGCACCAAAAGGGGUUAGUGAUUUCCUCAACCAAAAAGAUAAAGUCUUGGACCUUCAUCAAAAUAGUAAAGAUGCCAAGUAUGCUAUGUCCCCUUCAAACAACCAGCAAGUCUAAAAAAAAAACCAAGAAUCAAGAUAUCCUCAUAUCUCUCCACUAGAAUUUGAGAUAAUAUAAUCUUCCAUGAGAAGUCAUCGCCUAAGCCCACAAUAGAGUAGGCAGAUUCUCUUCUCCCAUCGAUCAAGGCUGAGGAAACAGCCAAGAGAGACAACCAUACACACACCAAAAGAGGUAUGAAAGACAUAAACAUUAAACUCAAAAGAGGGAGAGCUGGCAGCCCCAAAAUAGGAGCCUUUGCCUCCAAGUCUCAAGCACAAAAAGCCAAGAAUAGAGCACUAUAUAAGCAGCCUCAUCUCCCUUCUCCUCCACACAAAAUCGACACCCCAAACUCACAUAAAGUCAAGGAAUAUAGCAAGGAAGGGAGGAGGAGCAAGGAGGAGAUUUUGAGGCUGGACAUCAGUCCCAUCCGAGAGGAUUCAUCAAAGUGAGGUUGAACGUCAAGAGGAUGGAGUGAUGAUCGGAGUCGAUGUUAUCAAGUUGAUCUCCCAACGAUUCGUGUCUUCAUACACGAAGUCGUUUAGCAAGGACUUAUUCCGCUGUGCUCUUAGAAUUAAGAACCUCACCAUCAACUCUGAUUUAUUCGAGGAGAUGUCUAUUCUGUUUUCAAGACCGUGUAAUGAAAUACUUGGCUUCUAUGUUAUCAAUUGACUUGGCUUUGUGAAA